GAUGAACGCUGGCGGCGUGCCUAAUACAUGCAAGUCGAGCGAACGGACGAGAAGCUUGCUUCUCUGAUGUUAGCGGCGGACGGGUGAGUAACACGUGGAUAACCUACCUAUAAGACUGGGAUAACUUCGGGAAACCGGAGCUAAUACCGGAUAAUAUUUUGAACCGCAUGGUUCAAAAGUGAAAGACGGUCUUGCUGUCACUUAUAGAUGGAUCCGCGCUGCAUUAGCUAGUUGGUAAGGUAACGGCUUACCAAGGCAACGAUGCAUAGCCGACCUGAGAGGGUGAUCGGCCACACUGGAACUGAGACACGGUCCAGACUCCUACGGGAGGCAGCAGUAGGGAAUCUUCCGCAAUGGGCGAAAGCCUGACGGAGCAACGCCGCGUGAGUGAUGAAGGUCUUCGGAUCGUAAAACUCUGUUAUUAGGGAAGAACAUAUGUGUAAGUAACUGUGCACAUCUUGACGGUACCUAAUCAGAAAGCCACGGCUAACUACGUGCCAGCAGCCGCGGUAAUACGUAGGUGGCAAGCGUUAUCCGGAAAUAUUGGGCGUAAAGCGCGCGUAGGCGGUUUUUUAGUCUGAUGUGAAAGCCCACGGCUCAACCGUGGAGGGUCAUUGGAAACUGGAAAACUUGAGUGCAGAAGAGGAAAGUGGAAUUCCAUGUGUAGCGGUGAAAUGCGCAGAGAUAUGGAGGAACACCAGUGGCGAAGGCGACUUUCUGGUCUGUAACUGACGCUGAUGUGCGAAAGCGUGGGGAUCAAACAGGAUUAGAUACCCUGGUAGUCCACGCCGUAAACGAUGAGUGCUAAGUGUUAGGGGGUUUCCGCCCCUUAGUGCUGCAGCUAACGCAUUAAGCACUCCGCCUGGGGAGUACGACCGCAAGGUUGAAACUCAAAGGAAUUGACGGGGACCCGCACAAGCGGUGGAGCAUGUGGUUUAAUUCGAAGCAACGCGAAGAACCUUACCAAAUCUUGACAUCCUUUGACAACUCUAGAGAUAGAGCCUUCCCCUUCGGGGGACAAAGUGACAGGUGGUGCAUGGUUGUCGUCAGCUCGUGUCGUGAGAUGUUGGGUUAAGUCCCGCAACGAGCGCAACCCUUAAGCUUAGUUGCCAUCAUUAAGUUGGGCACUCUAAGUUGACUGCCGGUGACAAACCGGAGGAAGGUGGGGAUGACGUCAAAUCAUCAUGCCCCUUAUGAUUUGGGCUACACACGUGCUACAAUGGACAAUACAAAGGGCAGCGAAACCGCGAGGUCAAGCAAAUCCCAUAAAGUUGUUCUCAGUUCGGAUUGUAGUCUGCAACUCGACUACAUGAAGCUGGAAUCGCUAGUAAUCGUAGAUCAGCAUGCUACGGUGAAUACGUUCCCGGGUCU
rnacentral:rRNA from 1 species